GGGCGUGUGGCCAAGUGGAUUAAGGCAUCUGCCUCCUAAGUAGAAGACCGAGGGUUCGAAUCCCUCCUCGCUCA
rnacentral:tRNA from 1 species